ACAAAGGCUCUUUUCAGAGCCACUAAGCAGUUCUUUGAAAAGGGCU
rfam:Mus musculus chromosome 13, GRC primary reference assembly.